GACGAACGCUGGCGGCGUGCUUAACACAUGCAAGUCGAACGAAGUGGCGAACGGGUGAGUAACGCGUAAUCAACCUGCCCUUCAGAGGGGGACAACAGUUGGAAACGACUGCUAAUACCGCAUACUGACGGCGGGGAUUGCGUCUGAUUCGCUCGUUGGCGGGGUAACGGCCAACCAAGGCGAUGCUCAGUAGCCUGUCUGGGAGGAGGAACGGCCACAUUUGGACUGAGACACGGCCCAGACUCCUACGGGAGGCAGCAGUGGGGAAUCUUCCGCAAGGGACGAAAGUCUGACGGAGCAACGCCGCGGGAGUGAUGACGGCCUUCGGGUUGUAAAGCUCUGUUAAUCGGGACGCGGUACCGGAAUAGAAAGCCACGGCUAACUACGUGCCAGCAGCCGCGGUAAUUC
rnacentral:rRNA from 1 species